CGUAUUAUGGAGCAGAGGAAGCUCGUUGGGCUCAUAACCCAAAGGACAUUGGUUCGAAUCCAAUUAAUACAA
rnacentral:tRNA from 1 species